GGACCUGGCAGACCGUCGUUGCUGACUUGCUGAGAAGUGAGAACCAAGGAUGGUGCCAAAGGACGACCAUUUCAAUUUGCUUCUCGUGAGAAGAAUGGAGUGUCAGAUAACUAUCUAUCCCGAAAAGAGUUGGCGGCUUCUCAAGCAAUGACCUUAAGUCUUCCCUUAUAAGCAAUGAGGAUGAGUUCAGGGUUAGAACAUGACUAAAAUUAGCACAGUGUGGUUAAUGUAGGGUAUAGAAGCAAGCUCAAACAAAAAAGCAUCAGAGCAAGGCAGUUAGGCAGAUGAAGCUUGGAGGGACGUAGAAUAUUCAGACAAACAUGGAGAAGAUGGAGUAUUGUCUGGUGGAAUGUAGAAUUUGGAAUAUUUGCAAGGGUGAAAGAGAAAAGGCGUGGGAAGAAUGUAGAGGAGAUUGCUGUAGACUAUACAACCGGAGAUUGUUGGUUUGCUGGACAAAUGGAAGAUAGGUGGGGUAGUGAUAAUUUUUAUCAGAGGCAUUAUGAGACGGCCAAGUCAGAAAACGGUCAUCAGUGGGACUGGAAAGAGGAGCAAUCACGUCUUCAUCUGACUCCAUUUGAAUGGUCUCUUGUUUCCAGUCCUUAGCAAGGUCAUCAUCUGAAGUCCACAACACUGUCUCAGUGGUAAAACCUAUCAAUGCCAGUUGUCCUUCAAGGUUCAAUAGUCGUCCACAAGACUCAUCUGAGGGGAUCCGAGCUGGUGUUGUAAAGAACCACUCUUUCUCGAUAUCAAAUGACAGAAUCAGUUUUGUAGAUCGAUCCAGCCAGUGAAUGCAACCUUUAUGCUGCACACACAAGUCUUCCUGCAGACAGACUUGGCCCUUCAUGACCAACGGAUAAAACAGUGUCACCUGGUCUUGGUGCGAGUUCCAUUUGAAGCUCCUAGAGAACAGAAUCAAGCCCCUUGCUGAUUGCCCCCUGUAAUGAUCAGUGUAGCCCUCCUCCAGGUGGACCAGCUCACCAGUGAAAUUCCGGGUCAAAUCAAAUACGGCGAGUCUAAUUGCCCUGAUGGAAUCAGCUGCUGCCCUCAUUGGCUCGAUUGGCACAGAAUAAAAUGUCUGCUUUGAAGUAGUCCAUGUGCUGAAGAGAAUGUGUACCGCGUGUCUUCUACUGCUACUCUUUUGUUCGUGUUCUGCUCGGAAGUAUUGGGACCGGAUUGAAUUAUAGAACCACCGACUUGCCAUCUGGAAGACGAGGAGGGACUCCGAUGAGCACUUGAGCAUCACAUGGUGCAAUAAAUCGGAAGGUAGAGGUGAAUCUAUUAAAGCUUCUCUUGUCUCCUCCCCUGUACCUAGAACUUUUGAACUCUAGAAAAUAGGAACACAAAGAGAAGCAGUUAGUCCUGUAAAUAUAUAUUUUUUUCCUUAAAUCUUGUCCAAAAUUCUUAUACCCUUCAGUUAUACUUAUACACACUGAA